ACGGGGUGCAGCAGGCGCGAAACCUCCGCAAUACACGAAAGUGUGACGGGGUUACCCAAAGUGCUCUUUCAAGAGCUGUGAUAGGUGAGUAAUGUUCCCUAUUAGAAAGGAGAGGGCAAGGCUGGUGCCAGCCGCCGCGGUAAAACCAGCUCUUCAAGUGGUCGGGAUAAUUAUUGGGCUUAAAGUGUCCGUAGCCGGUUUAGUAAGUUCCUGGUAAAAUCGGGUAGCUUAACUAUCCGUAUGCUAGGAAUACUGCUAUACUAGAGGGCGGGAGAAGUCUGAGGUACUACAGGGGUAGGGGUGAAAUCUUAUAAUCCUUGUAGGACCACCAGUGGCGAAGGCGUCAGACUGGAACGCGCCUGACGGUGAGGGACGAAAGCCAGGGGAGCGAACCGGAUUAGAUACCCGGGUAGUCCUGGCUGUAAACGAUGCAUACUAGGUGAUGGCACGGCCAUGAGCCGUGUCAGUGCCGUAGGGAAACCGUCAAGUGUGUCGCCUGGGAAGUACGGUCGCAAGGCUAAAACUUAAAGGAAUUGGCGGGGGAGCAC
rnacentral:rRNA from 1 species